UCAGUCAAUUCGUUUUUCGUUUAUUGCAAGUGGUGCCCGCUGCAGAGCUAAAUGGGCGGAGCUGGAGCUCUAGCGAGGCGGGGCACCCUCGCUGGAUCUAGUGGGCGUGGCAGCAUCAAGUGCGCAGGCGCAGAUAGAGUUCGUUUAAACUUCCUGUACAGCCUGUAUCAAGUACUCCGGAGUAUUGCACGAUUUUAUCAUCAUCAAGCGUGGUCUCAAGUGCAGGCAAUCCCCACACUUUCACUGCUGUUACUGUACAUCAACAUUUUAAAAUGUGUAAAAAUCCAGCCUCUGGACAACCUACCCAUGGCUGCAGCACCACCUUCAUCCCCAGCAUCAGCAUCCCCGUCUUUAUUUCCCCUCGACAUUGGAACAUGUCUGUACUGAUUUUGAGGGUGCCACUCAACAGCUAGGAGGACUUGAUUGUGGGGUAUUUAUGUUGAUGCACACAGGACUCAGCGGUGAUGGAAACGUUCAGCUGACCUGUGAGUGGCUAAAGGAGACCACUUGCUGGGAAGAUGAGCUGCAAAAGAUCUAAAGGAUGAUGUCCUGUUGGCUAUAACAAUGUUGGACUUGUUUAUAAACACCAUGUUUUAUGAGGGUGAAAGGAAUGAAGAAAAAAUGUCGAUUCCCUUCCCUUUUAUAGUUUAGAGAAGAGCAGGAGAUAUAUGAGACAAAAGAGUUAUUUGUGGGGUUUGUUUACACAAAAAACCCUGUCUUGUGAAUCUACUAGUGCGGAAUCUGCGGAUAGACUAAUGUAAAUAUUGUUUUUUUUUAUUGGUUUUGUAAAAUACCAUUAAACUUGUGUGUGAACUGUAAAGUGAUUUGUUCUUGAAAUAAAUGUAUAAUAUUUAUUAUUGUAUCUUAUUAUACCAUUACAGUCUUGUGUUCUUGAAA